rnacentral:rRNA from 1 species
AUUGAACGCUGGCGGCAGGCCUAACACAUGCAAGUCGAACGAGUGGCGGACGGGUGCGUAAUGUCUGGGAAACUGCCCGAUGGAUGGGGAUAACUACUGGAAACGGUAGCUAAUACCUAAUACCAUCGUAUGUGCCCCGAUGGGAUUAGCUAGUAGGUGUGGUAAAGGCUCACCUAGGAGACGAUCCCUAGCUGGUCUGAGAGGAUGACCAGCAACACUGGAACGGAGACACGGUCCAGACUCCUACGGGAGGCAGAAGGGGGGAAUAUUGCACAAUGGGCGCAAGCCUGAUGAAGCCAUGCCGCGUGUAUGAAGAAGGCCUUCGGGUUGUAAAGUACUUUCAGCGGGGAGGCGUUACCCGCAGAAGAAGCACCGGCUAACUCCGUGCCAGCCGCCGCGGUAAUAC